GCCGGGCGUGGUGGCGGGCGCCUGUAGUCCCAGCUACUCAGGAGGCUGAGGCAGGAGAAUCGCUUGAACCCAGGAGGUGGAGGUUGCAGUGAGCCGAGAUAGAACCAGUGCACUCCAGCCUGGGUGACAGAGCGAGACUCUGUCUUUA
rnacentral:SRP_RNA from 1 species